UGAAUUUGCUCUCUAAGUUGUUGUGUUUAACACUUCAUACCUGAGAGUAUUCGGAUUCAAACCUUCCGUUCUUGGACCCUUUUUUAUGGUCAAUGCGAAGUGCCGUUUAAUAUCCGUAAUCUGUAGCAUUGUUUGGUUGGUACACAAGGACUACUAAGCAAUCUCAGGAGCUGUCUCUUAGGAUGAUGAUCGUGACACUAGGGCGGACCUGUGCCUUAGAGACUUAAAAUAAAGAUAGAACUAGUUUAAUUAUGUUCUGAACUCUUUAUUUCCUGUUUU
rnacentral:lncRNA from 1 species